rnacentral:rRNA from 1 species
GGCAAACUGCUCAGUAACACGUAAUCAACCUACCCUGUGGUGAGGGAUAACCUUGGGAAACUGAGGGUAAUACCUCAUAGCGAACAGAUGUUGGAACGCUUUGUUCGCCAAAGCUUUCGGGCGCCGCAGGACGGGAUUGCGUCGGAUUAGGCUGUUGGUGAGGUAAUGGCUCACCAAACCAGUGAUCCGUACGGGCUGUGAGAGCAGUAGCCCGGAGAAUGGUACUGAGACACGGACCAUAGCCCUACGGGGUGCAGCAGGCGCGAAACCUUUGCAAUGCGCGCAAGCGCGACAAGGGAACUCCAAGUGCCCCCAUUGGGGGCUUUUGUCUACUUCAAAACGGUAGACGAAUAAGGACUGGGUAAGACCCGUGCCAGCCGCCGCGGUAAUACGGGCAGUCCUAGUGGUGUCCACGGAUACUGGGCUUAAAGCGUUCGUAGCCGGACUCAUCAGUCCUUGGUGAAAGCUUGCGACUUAAUCGUGAGAGUUGCCAGGGAAACAGUGAGUCUUGGAGUCGGGAAGGGUCAGAGGUAUUCCUUGGGUAGGAGUAAAACCCUGUAAUCCUUGGAGGACCAACAGUGGCGAAGGCGUCUGACUAGAACGAGCUCGACGGUGAGGAACGAAAGCUAGGGGAGCGACCCGGAUUAGAUACCCGGUUAGUCCUAGCCGUAAAUGAUGCAAGCUUUGUGUCGCACUCCGUACGUCGGUGUGCGGUACCGUAGGGAAACCGUUAAGCUUGCCGCCUGGGAAGUACGGCCGCAAGGCUGAAACUUAAAGGAAUUGGCGGGGGAGUACUACAAGGGGUGGAGGCUGCGGUUCAAUUGGAUAAAACGCCAGACAACUCACCAGAAUUGACAGCAGAAUGAUGGUCACCUUAAAGGGGUUACCUGACGCGCUGAAAGGUGGUGCAUGGCCAUCGUCAGCUCGUGCUGUGAAGUGUCCUGUCAAGUCAGGCAACGAGCGAGACCCACGCUUCCAGUUGCAAACCAUCUUCUUCGGGAGGUGGUGCACUCUGGAGGGACUGCCAGUGAUAAACUGGAGGAAGGAGUGGGCGACGAUAGGUCAGUAUGCCCCUAAUUUUCUGGGCUACACGCGGCCUACAAUGCAGCGGACAAUAGGAUGCGACCCCGAAAGGGGAAGCCAAACCCGUAAACCGCUGCGUAGUUUGGAUUGAGGGUUGGGACUCACCCUCAUGAAAAUGGAAUCCCUAGUAAUCGCGUGUCAUUAUCGCGCGGUGAAUGCGUCCCUUCUCCUUGCACACACCGCCCGUCAAACCAACCGAGUAGUUUUCAGAUGAGGUGCGAUCGCUUCCGCGGUUGCUUCGACUCUGGGGGCUGUGAGGGGGGUUAAGUCGUAACAAGGUA